UACGGGGGGAGCAAGCGUUGUUCGGAUUUACUGGGCGUAAAGGGCGCGUAGGCGGUCAGCACAAGUCAGUUGUGAAAUCUCCGGGCUUAACUCGGAAAGGUCAACUGAUACUGUGCGACUAGAGUGCAGAAGGGGCAACUGGAAUUCUCGGUGUAGCGGUGAAAUGCGUAGAUAUCGAGAGGAACACCUGCGGCGAAGGCGGGUCUCUGGGCAAUAACUGACGCUGAGGAGCGAAAGCGUGGGGAGCGAACAGG
rnacentral:rRNA from 1 species